AUUGAACGCUGGCGGCAUGCCUUACACAUGCAAGUCGAACGGCAGCACGGGAGCAAUCCUGGUGGCGAGUGGCGAACGGGUGAGUAAAGUAUCGGAACGUGCCCAGUCGUGGGGGAUAACGUAGCGAAAGUUACGCUAAUACCGCAUACGAUCUAUGGAUGAAAGCGGGGGAUCGCAAGACCUCGCGCGAUUGGAGCGGACGAUAUCAGAUUAGGUAGUUGGUGGGGUAAAGGCUCACCAAGCCGACGAUCUGUAGCUGUCUAAGAGGACGACCAGCCUCACUGGGACUGAGACACGGCCCAGACUCCUACGGGAGGCAGCAGUGGGGAAUUUUGGACAAUGGGCGAAAGCCUGAUCCAGCCAUGCCGCGUGCAGGAUGAAGGCCUUCGGGUUGUAAACUGCUUUUGUACGGAACGAAAAGGUUUGGGCUAAUAAGCUGAGCUCAUGACGGUACCGUAAGAAUAAGCACCGGCUAACUACGUGCCAGCCGCCGCGGUAA
rnacentral:rRNA from 1 species